rnacentral:rRNA from 1 species
AAGUCGUAACAAGGGUUCCCAAGACGUAAGUCUGGAGCAUGGUUCUUCCGUGGCCCACUUAUAGAAGCCUUUGCAGCCCCGCAAGGGGUCGCUACGCCGACUCUAAACCAUCGUAGCGUGCAAGUCAGCGUAUGCUGGCGACAUAAUCGAAUUGACGGGGACACCCUAAAGCCUACGCCACUAACCUCGCACGGAAACGUGCGGGGGGCCCAUGAUAACCUCAUGGGGAGUAAAAGCGCGUAGGAUACGCCAUCUUGAUGGCACAUGGGCGAUCCGCAGCGAAGCCCCUACCGCUCUCUGAGCCACGGGGAACGUUCACAGACUAAGUGAUUGUGGGCAGGACCUCCUGUCUAAGAUAUAGUCGGGCCCCCGUCGAAAGGCGGGGGGGAGAGACGCUACGCGCGCCGUAGGCUCUCGCUCCACCGUUCCGUAGGUGAACCUGCGGAAGGAUCAUUACCGAGUUCAUGCCCUCACGGGUAGACCUCCCACCCUUUGUAUACCACACCUUCGUUGCCUUGGCGGGCCGCCUAGCUACCGGCUUCGGCUGGUAAGUGCCCGCCAGAGGACCCAAAACCCAAACCAUUUACCGUGUCGUCUGAUAACAAGUUUAAUAUUUAAAACUUUCAACAACGGAUCUCUUGNNUCUGGCAUCGAUGAAGAACGCAGCGAAAUGCGAUAAGUAAUGUGAAUUGCAGAAUUCAGUGAAUCAUCGAAUCUUUGAACNCNCAUUGCGCCCNUGGNANUCCGAGGGGGCAUGCCUAUUCGAGCGUCAUUAUCACCCCUCAAGCUCCGGCUUGGUGUGAGGUCUGCCGCAAGGCACCCUUUAAAAUCAGUGGCAGUGCCGUCAGGCUCUAAGCGUAGUAAUUUCGUCGCUAUAGGGUCCUGGUGGAUGCUCGUCAAAACCCCCCACAUCUUAAUGAUUGACCUCGGAUUAGGUAGGGAUACCCGCUGAACUUAAGCAUAUCAAUAAGCGGAGGAAAAGAAACCAACAGGGAUUGCCUCAGUAACGGCGAGUGAAGCGGCAAAAGCUCAAAUUUGAAAUCUGGCUCUUUCAGGGUCCGAGUUGUAAUUUGUAGAAGAUGCUUCGGGUGUGGCUCCGGUUUAAGUUCUUUGGAAUAUUACAUCAUAGAGGGUGAGAAUCCCGUAUGUGACCGGCAGCCUCCCCCAUGUGAAACUCUUUCGACGAGUCGAGUUGUUUGGGAAUGCAGCUCAAAAUGGGAGGUAUAUUUCUUCUAAAGCUAAAUAUUGGCCAGAGACCGAUAGCGCACAAGUAGAGUGAUCGAAAGAUGAAAAGCACUUUGGAAAGAGAGUUAAACAGUACGUGAAAUUGUUGAAAGGGAAGCGCUUGCAACCAGACUUGCACGCAGUUGAUCAUCCGGUGUUCUCACCGGGGCACUCUGCUGCGUUCAGGCCAGCAUCGGUUUCGGUGGUUGGAUAAAGGCCUUGGGAAUGUGGCUUCCUUCGGGGAGUGUUAUAGCCCUCGGUGCAAUGCAGCCUACCGGGACCGAGGACCGCGCUUCGGCUAGGAUGCUGGCGUAAUGGUUGUAAGCGACC